rnacentral:rRNA from 1 species
AAUAGAUACCCUGGUAGUCCACGCCGUAAACGAUGAGUGCUAAGUGUUAGAGGGUUUCCGCCCUUUAGUGCUGCAGCUAACGCAUUAAGCACUCCGCCUGGGGAGUACGGUCGCAAGACUGAAACUCAAAGGAAUUGACGGGGGCCCGCACAAGCGGUGGAGCAUGUGGUUUAAUUCGAAGCAACGCGAAGAACCUUACCAGGUCUUGACAUCCCACUGACCGGUAUAGAGAUAUACCUUUCCCUUCGGGGACAGUGGUGACAGGUGGUGCAUGGUUGUCGUCAGCUCGUGUCGUGAGAUGUUGGGUUAAAUCCCGCAACGAGCGCAACCCUUGAUCUUAGUUGCCAGCAUUUAGUUGGGCACUCUAAGGUGACUGCCGGUGACAAACCGGAGGAAGGUGGGGAUGACGUCAAAUCAUCAUGCCCCUUAUGACCUGGGCUACACACGUGCUACAAUGGAUGGUACAAAGGGCUGCAAGACUGCGAAGUCAAGCCAAUCCCAUAAAACCAUUCUCAGUUCGGAUUGCAGG